CAACCUGGUGUUCAGACAUGUUGGCAUCCCCAACGAUGUUGUAUCUGAUUGUGGACCAGAAUUUAUAUUGCGUGUUUGGAAGGCAUUCUUCUCCCUCAUAGGUGUGAUCGUGAGUCUUACAUCCAGAUACCAUCCUCAAUCUAACUGGCAGAUGGAGAGAAAAAUCCAGGAGAUCAGCUGCUUCCUGAGAACCUUCUGCCAAAGCCACCAGGACUCCUGGAGCCAGUUUCUCACCUGGGCUGAGCGAGACAUCAGAUGUUCCAUCUGUCACCCACUGGUUCCAGGAGAGCGAGAGGGUCUGGGACGAAGCUCAUCAUCACCUGCAGAGGGCUGUGUGCAGAGCCUGGUAUCAGUGACAAACCCCCAGUACCUCAGAUUGUGGACACAGAACCCAUCUACACAGUAAAGGAGAUGCUGGACUCUCGACGUCGUGGAGGCCACCUCAAAAACCUCGUAGACUGGGAGGGGUAUUGACCAGAGGAGCAAUGCUGGAUCCCAUGUGACGACAUCCUGGAUCCCACUCUCCUCAGAGAAUUUCACCAGCAACAUCCACAGCGCCUGGCACCUAGGGACAGAGGGUGGCCACCAUGACGUCGAGGGGGGUACUGUCACGGAAACACCAGGUUCUCUUACCACCAAGCAACGAUCCCAAUCACCUGAAUUCUGAACACCUGCACUCAAUCAGCACACCCUCAUCAGCCCCAGUAUAUAAGCACACACCU
ensembl:lncRNA